CCUUCACUUCCUCCUUCUUCAGCCCCGGCACAUCCGCCUUGAACACGUGAGCAUCCGCAGUCUCCCUCCAGUCAAUAUUCGCGUGCGCGAACGAAGCUGUUUCAGAAGAUCCGACGCGAUCGGAGAGAGAACGGAAGUUGUUGUUGUUGUUGAAGGGGAAGCCUUCGAAAGGAUCCCAGAUGUCGAGGGAGAAGGGAUCGAAGACGUUUGUUCGACGACCACCGAAAAAGCUUGGGAUGAUCGACAUACUCGUUACUGAUCGCUAAGCAAAGCCUAAAGAGAGAUCCAA
rnacentral:lncRNA from 1 species